UACACAUGCAGUCGAACGGUAACAGGUCUUCGGAUGCUGACGAGUGGCGAACGGGUGAGUAAUACAUCGGAACGUGCCCGAUCGUGGGGGAUAACGCAGCGAAAGCUGUGCUAAUACCGCAUACGAUCUACGGAUGAAAGCGGGGGAUCGCAAGACCUCGCGCGGACGGAGCGGCCGAUGGCAGAUUAGGUAGUUGGUGGGAUAAAAGCUUACCAAGCCGACGAUCUGUAGCUGGUCUGAGAGGACGACCAGCCACACUGGGACUGAGACACGGCCCAGACUCCUACGGGAGGCAGCAGUGGGGAAUUUUGGACAAUGGGCGAAAGCCUGAUCCAGCCAUGCCGCGUGCAGGAUGAAGGCCUUCGGGUUGUAAACUGCUUUUGUACGGAACGAAAAAGUCUUCUCUAAUACAGGGGGCGAAUGACGGUACCGUAAGAAUAAGCACCGGCUAACUACGUGCCAGCAGCCGCGGUAAUACGUAGGGUGCGAGCGUUAAUCGGAAUUACUGGGCGUAAAGCGUGCGCAGGCGGUUAUAUAAGACAGAUGUGAAAUCCCCGGGCUCAACCUGGGAACUGCAUUAGUGACUGUAUAGCUAGAGUGCGGCAGAGGGGGAUGGAAUUCCGCGUGUAGCA
rnacentral:rRNA from 2 species